rnacentral:lncRNA from 1 species
GGUGAAAAUGAAACUGAAAAUGAGAGUCUGAGAUUAAAAACAGACAUUAAAGCAAAGACAAGAUCUUCAACAAAGAGGAAAACUAUAUAUAAAAAAAGAAAAUUUUUUGUUACCAUGCAUUUUCUAUAGAAUAGUAAAAAUAUCGUCAACAUUUCAAAUACAGUUGUUUUUAAUUGCUGCUGCUGUAUAAAGCAACAAUAUCUAAAGGCAAAUUGAAAAUUUAUAACAAAUUGAGAAAUUUGAUUACAAUUUUUUUUAACAAACUCUAAAAAACGUGUUGCUGUCUGUGUUGAGUAUUCAUGGACGACGUAGAUGACAGCGAUGAUGAUGAUGAUCUUUAUGUUAGCAUGUGACCUUUGACCUCUUGCCUUGCAGGGCGACGUUGGGCCCGAGGGAGACGACGGAGCCUCUGGUUUCUCUGGAGCCAUGGGAGAACACGGACUUCCAGGAGACCUGGGCCAGCAUGGAGAGCUGGGUCUGAAGGGCGACGUCGGCAUGGAGGGACCCCGCGGAGGAGUCGGCGCUCCCGGUGAGACUGUAAGGAAACACAAGCGACCUCUUGACCUCUCUGCGGUGGAAACACUCGCCGCAAAUCUAAACUGAACGUUUCUCACUUUACUGCGCCGAAAAAGCACAAACUAUGUUUGUGACACAUCUUCAUUUCAUCACGUGAAUCCGGUUAAAAUCAAUUAUUGUGAUGCUAGUGAGAUUCCACACGUGAUUCACUUUUUAUCACAUUCUUCAGAGUAAAUGGAGGCAGGUGAGAAGAUGGCGGGAAACAGAGAACGAGUGGAGCGUUCAUAUUUGUUAAUGUUUCAGACGUCAAUAUUCUUAUCACCUCAUUG